AGGGAAGAUGGCGGCGCCCUGGUGGCGAGCCGCGCUGUGCGAGUGUCGGAGAUGGCGGGGCUUCAGCACCUCGGCCGUCCUGGGCCGCCGGACACCCCCGCUGGGGCCGAUGCCCAACAGUGACAUCGACUUGAGCAACCUGGAGCGGCUGGAGAAGUACCGGAGCUUCGACCGCUACCGGCGCCGGGCAGAGCAGGAGGCGCAGGCCCCGCACUGGUGGCGGACCUACCGAGAGUAUUUCGGGGAGAAGACAGGUGCGGGGCGACUGGAGCAGGGGCUGCAGCCACCGCCCGGGGAACUCGGGACCCGCCGGCGUUUUCCCCGGGCUCUGGGCGAGGCUUGCCGUCGCCCUUGUGGAUGCUGGGGACGCUGGGAGGGCCUGCCUGCAGACCUGUGUGCGCUAUCGGCAGCUUAAUCACCCCAGGAUUUUUCACACCUUCUGCGCCUCAUUCUUGGAAAAUUCGCUCCCCCUACUAUUAGAGUUCCAGCUCCUAAAAUAUUUGCUCCUAAAAUCUUGACCACCUGACUUUCCGGAUUGGGAUGCCGUUCUGUGCGCCUCAAAUACUCUAUCCCAAAGAGAAGAUUGAUAUUGGGCUGCCUCCACCCAAAGUCUCCCGGACCCAACAGCUACUGGAACGGAAACAGGCCAUCCGGGAGCUUCGGGCCAAUGUGGAAGAGGAGCGGGCUGCCCGCCUCCGCACAGCCAGUGUCCCGCUGGAUGCCGUGCGGGCCGAGUGGGAGAGGACCUGUGGCCCCUACCACAAGCAGCGUCUGGCUGAGUAUUACGGCCUCUACCGAGACCUGUUCCAUGGUGCCACCUUUGUGCCCCGAGUCCCCCUGCACGUGGCCUACGCUGUGGGUGAGGACGACCUGAUGCCCG
rnacentral:sRNA from 1 species